UAACUCCUGACCUCAAGUGAUCCGCCCACCUCGGCCUCCCAAAGUGCUGGGAUUACAGGCAUGAGCCACCGCUCCGGGCCCUUGCACAUAUUUUUUUAUGAACACACAGGCAGCAGCACUUUGAUUACAGUAACUUACAUGGAAGUUAUUUUAAAAUGGCUUUCCCCUUCUCUUUUUCAUGUAGGCUGCAUUUUUCAUCUGCAGCACGCUUUCUCUCAAGAAUCUCAAGCACACACAAGAAACCAGAGAGUAAAAUCACUGAGGCGUGAACACAUCCAGAGACCAAGGGCGUCACUGGCAGAAAAGCUUUUAGGCGGAUCCACGGCCCGAGAGCCACCCUGCCCAGAGACGCGGUUUCCUAGGAGCAGUUCACACGCGGCUCUGCAGCACCCACAAGCGGGGCCAGGGGCUGGUUUUCAUAGUUCACAGUCUGCAGGGAUCUUAACAAAAACAUGGCCGUGGUAAAAGUGCCUAGACCAGGCUUUCGUCACAACUCAGUGAGUAGGAAGACUAGUUAGGCUGAUGAAAAGCUCUGAUGAUGUGUGAUUAAAAGUAGGAAAACGUGGUUGCCAAAUAAAAUAUUUUACUAUAUAGUCAGGGGGAGAGAUGGGGAUAAAAAAAUGUGGAAACCAUUUAUUUUAAAAUUUUGACUGUUCCUGCAGUGUUUAAAAUAUAGGAGAUAUAUUCUGAUUAUCUUUAGAAAGAAACUGCUCUCAAUCUAUUUGUAUGUCUUCCCUCUGGUUUUAAAAUAUUAAACAAUCAUCUAACUCAAUAUUUAAUUUUACCUCUAGUCAUGUUACUAGGUUAGGAUAAUAAAAAGGACUGUGAACUUCACAUCUGCCAUCUAUAAUAGAUUCUUAUUGUAGCAAUCUUGCACCAAGGGGAUUUCUUUAUUAACUCUGCCAAAUUUUCCAAAAUUACCAAAUGGAGAAAAGAGCUGGUCCCAUCUGUCACCAGGCACAACCAGCGCGAUACCUGACUUUCACCAUGAUGAAUGGAGACAGGAUGGGGUCUGAAUGCUAGUCUUCAAUGCACCAUACAACAGUGCUAGACCCUCAUCAGUAUGAAGGGGAACAAAGCCCUCCUUAAAAGAUUUACUAGAGUUAACACCUGGGGAUCCUCAAGAAAUGAAUGCUAUCAUUGUUCUGCUUCAGAAGGUAGAAAUACAGGGAAUACACUUCAGAUAGGUUAAGAUAAAAAGUUUUGUGUUUAAGGCAGCACCUCAGUUGCCUGGAAAAUUCACUUCUGUAUAAUGCCUAAUUUGUUAAUGAUGCCGUGAAUAGAUGCUUUCUAAUAACUACACAAGUUUGUUUUUAUGAAAAAGUAGAGUAACAUGUCCUCUGAUGUUAGUAGUAGGAGAGUUUGAAUAAAGGACUUUAAACAAAUGAA